CCACAGGCUCCUGACGUUCUGCCUCAGGACAGAAAUCCAUGAACCUUUCAGAAGAAGCAAACCUUCCCUCCCUACAGGUGAAGAAGUCGAAGCCUGGAGGAUUGAAACCCUUACCCGGGGUCAUCUAGACGGAGCAGGGCAGCAUAGCACCAGGGCUUGGAGGCUUUCUGCUAUGGCGAUGGCUGACUGCUCUGUGGUGCCAUUUCCUGAGCCAGGAAUGGAGUCACGUGACCACGUCGGUAAACACCGUGGCCGACACCCGUUAAAGAGGAUCUUGGUCGGUGGCAGGAGCAUCACAUCCUCCACAGCACAGAAGAUGACUGCCAUCAUGUCCUGAGGCUCAGAAGUGGCACGUAGGUGCUGAGUGAGGCAUCUGUGUCUGUGUGGGAGAGUGGCUGGACCGCUGUGAGUCACGUGAUGUCAAGGACCAGCUUCUCCAUCUGUGAGUCACGUGAUGUCAAGGAACCGUCUUCUCCAUCUUCUCUCUCUCA